CGUACACUCCUACGGGAGGCAGCAGUGGGGAAUAUUGCACAAUGGGCGCAAGCCUGAUGCAGCCAUGCCGCGUGUAUGAAGAAGGCCUUCGGGUUGUAAAGUACUUUCAGCGGGGAGGAAGGCGAUAAGGUUAAUAACCUUGUCGAUUGACGUUACCCGCAGAAGAAGCACCGGCUAACUCCGUGCCAGCAGCCGCGGUAAUACGGAGGGUGCAAGCGUUAAUCGGAAUUACUGGGCGUAAAGCGCACGCAGGCGGUCUGUCAAGUCGGAUGUGAAAUCCCCGGGCUCAACCUGGGAACUGCAUUCGAAACUGGCAGGCUAGAGUCUUGUAGAGGGGGGUAGAAUUCCAGGUGUAGCGGUGAAAUGCGUAGAGAUCUGGAGGAAUACCGGUGGCGAAGGCGGCCCCCUGGACAAAGACUGACGCUCAGGUGCGAAAGCGUGGGGAGCAAACAGGAUUAGAUACCCUAGUAGUCC
rnacentral:rRNA from 1 species